AUACAGAGGGUGCGAGCGUUAAUCGGAAUUACUGGGCGUAAAGCGCGCGUAGGCGGCUUGGUCAGUCGGAUGUGAAAGCCCUGGGCUCAACCUGGGAAUUGCAUUCGAUACUGCCAAGCUAGAGUAUGGGAGAGGGAAGUGGAAUUUCCGGUGUAGCGGUGAAAUGCGUAGAUAUCGGAAAGAACACCAGUGGCGAAGGCGACUUCCUGGCCCAAUACUGACGCUGAGGUGCGAAAGCGUGGGGAGCGAACAGGAUUAGAUACCCUUGUAGUCC
rnacentral:rRNA from 1 species